GGGGAGCAUCCAUAUGUCGAGAUGUUGCCUGAUACAAUCUUCCUAUAGAAAAAAACUGCUGUUUCCUGCUUGUAGUGCUUGAGCAUGUCCUGCAAGUCUCAAAUAAACAGUGACAAUU